GUGAAGCCCUCAGCUCAACUGAGGAAGUGCGCCCGAAACUGCCGUUCUUGAGUGUCGGAGAGGGUGACGGAACUCCCGGUGUAGAGGUGAAAUUCGUAGAUAUCGGGAGGAACACCAGUGGCGAAGGCGGUCACCUGGACGAACACUGACGCUGAGACGCGAAAGCGUGGGUAGCAAACAGGAUUAGAUACCCUGGUAGUCCACGCCGUAAACGAUGAGUGCUAGCUGUUGCGGGUAUUGACCCCUGCAGUGCCAAGGGCGAAUUCCACAGUGGAUA
rnacentral:rRNA from 1 species